GUCCUCUUGUUUUUUUUAGGAGGUCUAGCCUGCCCAGUGAAUAUUUUAACGGCCGCGGUAUAUUGACCGUGCAAAGGUAGCAUAAUCAUUAGUCUUUUAAUAGAAGGCUGGAAUGAAAGGUUUAACGAAAAAUUAGCUGUCUCAAUUAUAAACUUGAAUUUAGCUUUUAAGUCAAAAGGCUUAAAUUUCUUUGAUGGACGAGAAGACCCUAUAGAGCUUUACAUUUUAAUUUAAUAAAUUUAUUUGGAUUAAUAAUUUGAAUUUAUUUAUUUGAAUGUUUUGUUGGGGUGACAAGAAAUAUAUAAUUAACUUUUAUUAUUAAAUUUACAUUAAUAUAUGAUUAUUGGAUCCAUUAUUAUUGAUCAAUAGACUAAGUUACCUUAGGGAUAACAGCGUAAUCUUCCUUCAGAGUUCAAAUUUACAGGAAGGCUUGCGACCUCGAUGUUGGAUUAAGAUAAUAAUUAGGUGCAGUAGCUUAAUUAAUAGGUCUGUUCGACCUUUAAAUUCUUACAUGAUCUGAGUUCAGACCGG
rnacentral:rRNA from 1 species